GAUGAACGCUGGCGGCGUGCCUAAUACAUGCAAGUCGAGCGAACAGACGAGGAGCUUGCUCCUCUGACGUUAGCGGCGGACGGGUGAGUAACACGUGGAUAACCUACCUAUAAGACUGGUAUAACUUCGGGAAACCGGAGCUAAUACCGGAUAAUAUAUUGAACCGCAUGGUUCAAUAGUGAAAGACGGUUUUGCUGUCACUUAUAGAUGGAUCCGCGCCGCAUUAGUUAGUUGGUAAGGUAACGGCUUACCAAGGCAACGAUGCGUAGCCGACCUGAGAGGGUCGUCGGCCACCCUGGAACUGAGACACGGUACAGACUCCGACGGGAGGCAGCAGUAGGGAAUCUUACGCAAUGGGCGAGAGCCUGACGGAGCAACGCCGCGUGAGUGAUGAAGGUCUUCGGAUCGGAAAGCUCUGUUAUUAGGGGAGAACAAAUGUGUAAGUAACUAUGCACGUCUUGACGGUACCUAACCAGAAAGCCACGGCUAACUACGUG
rnacentral:rRNA from 1 species